rnacentral:rRNA from 1 species
CCUACGGGUGGCAGCAGUGGGGAAUAUUGCACAAUGGGCGAAAGCCUGAUGCAGCAACGCCGCGUGAGCGAUGAAGGACUUCGGGUCGUAAAGCUCUGUCCUCAAGGAAGAUAAUGACGGUCCUUGAGAAGGAAGCACCGGCUAACUACGUGCCAGCAGCCGCGGUACUACGUAGGGGGCUAGCGUUAUCCGGCAUUACUGGGGUUAAAGGGUGCGUAGGUGGUUUGUUAAGUCAGAGGUAAAAGUCUACGGCUCAACCGUAGUAAGCAUUUGAAACUGGGAAACUUGAGUGCAGGAGAGGAGAGUGGAAUUACUAGUGUAGCGGUGAAAUGCGUAGAUAUUAGGAGGAACACCAGUUGCGAAGGCGGCUCGCUGGACUGUAACUGACACUGAGGCACGAAAGCGUGGGGAGCAAACAGGAUUAGAUACCCUUGUAGUC